AAAGGCUGGACCUUUUUCAAUUUAGGAUGACGGAGUGCGAAAUGGUAGAACCACAAGUCCACAAUCACUUGUACAGUGACUAGAUGAGAAAUUAGAACAUGGAGGAGCUAGAAGAGGAAGGAUCAAAUGGAUUCAACGAUUGGGAGUCUCUUCCCUCCACCCACAACCGCCACAACCACCACCCUCCAUCUUCUUCCGCCUCCUCUCAUAAACGCCCUCCUCUUCAAACCACCCUUUCUCACCACCAUCACAACCACGACCAUCAUCGCCAUCUUGCUAUCUUCCCGCCAAUCAAUCACGAAGGGCUCCCCAUCCCACCACUACCCCCACCGCACGCGCCGCUCUCUCUCUCCAAUUGCAACUCGGACACCGAUUCUCCCUCCUCAUCCCCUUCUCCUCCCCCACCAAAGCCCCAGAAUUCCCAGUUGAUUAAAUGGUUUGAUUUCGCCCUUCAUCUCUGGAAUUUCAAGCUCCGUUCCUCCCUUAACCAACUUCGUUCUCGUCGGUUGUUUUCUUCAAUUCUUCCGGUGGCUACCACGGCGUCGGUUUUGGCUGUUUUAUGGUUCUGGGUCCGACGGCGGCGGAGGCAGCCGUUACGCAGACAUGGUGGAACGGAGAGUAUUGAGCAUUUGAAGCUUGUAAUUAAGGAAAAAGACGAGAAGAUUAUUCAGCUCUUAGAGCAGAUUGCUCUAAUGAAUAAGGUGUUGCUAACACGAUACAAAAUUCCUGUUUCAAGGGCUAGCUGAUUAUUCUAAGAAUAAACAUUACUGCAAUUAGGAAUGUGGCUGGCUCAUCAGGACCACCAAUCAGACACGUUUGAACUGGCAUAAUUAUAUGCAUGAAACUGCACGACUGCAGGUAUUAGUCUACAGCUAAAUAAACUUGUCAAUCUACGGUGUUAUCUAUUUUUAUGAAUUACAAUCCGCAGACUGCAUCUUUAACGUAUAUUUUUAGCCUUUUAGGUUAAUUUGGGCGAGUAUUUGGACCUAUGUUUCUUGACACCGAAAACAACAGCAAUACUUAGCCCCUGAGAUGGAAAUUCAGGACAGAAAUCUACAGCAUAUAAAUAACAUUAGAAUUCUUCAUUGCAGUAUAAUUUCUGUAUGUAUAAGUAUACAACAAACAUUACUAUGAAGCUAUGAACAUAUAUAAAUUAUACCAAAAAUCCUCGUUAUACGGGAUACAAAUCGGUUUUCAUUAACCGAAAAUGGUGAACCAGCAACUUUGAUGAACCAGCAACUAUAUGUCUCCGUAUAUCAAGUUCAUCCACAAUCUUGAGAGGUUUGUCAGUUUCAUUUCUGAAUCUCUUGAUGUUAGGACUCAACAACCCCUUAUGUCUAAACCCAUAAAGCUUAAGAACUUGAUUAUCGGCGAAGUUGAAUGCCCUCUCCAUACUCUUCAAGCAUUUCUCAGCUGGAUAAUCCCCGUAACUACC